GGGAAAGAGAGAGAGAAAGUAUAUCAUCGUUCGUUCGCACGAUCGCGAUCGCCUUUUCCUCGCGACGUCGCGUCGUUUCUAGCGACGAGCAGGGCUAGUCAACCGCGGUUUUAGCGGAAGUCGACCGUAUAUAUAUAUAUUUAUAUAUAUAUAUCUCUCUCUCUGUCGCGCGCGCGCGCGCGCGCGCCGCCCCCGCCCCCUUGUACGUACAAUAUCAAGUUGUACGAGACGCGACUGUACCAGCUGUGGUGACGCGAUACGCUCUCGAGGAGGGCGGUAGGGAAAGGGUGGGAGGGAGCGAGUGUAUUAUGCGUGCUCUGUGUUCUUCUCGUUUGUAAUCUCUUCUGUUCUGUGCACUCGGGUCGCAAGCGGUUAAAUUCCGUGGUUUUCUUCGCGAUUCUCUCCUGUGUGCACCGAUGUUUCCUCCGCCGAGGCCCCGUUAGCGCGAGUGAACAAAGGGAGACAACGAGGGAGGCCGACAGCGGACGCAAGAGAGAGCGAGAGAGAGGAGCUACACCAUAGAGACAUCGUAUCGAUCGAGAGCUGGUCCUACUUCACGUCACGAACCUCUCGGAAAAUUAGUCUACCUCCUUCCCGGCGGACUUGUUGAUAGCAUGUCAGGAGGACGCGAGGCGCUUUGUUCGGCGGUUACAAGGCGAUGAGAAGCCUGGAUGGAGUCAGAGGAAGCCUCAGAGCCCCCUGGGGCUCCCAUCAAUGUUCCGUUGACAGAGCAAUGCAGCCGGGUCAAUCUUGUCGCUGCACUUAAGCCGAUCUGAACCGCCGUACACCUCCAUUUACACCAGAUCAGCAUUUAAUCGCGGUACUCCGGAGACAGA